rnacentral:lncRNA from 1 species
AGCAUUCAGAUUGUUUCUUUUAAACUCACUUUAAAUUUUUGGCAGGGAAUUCAUGCAUAGCUGAGACUUGGAGGCAGCUUCUGCUAACUUCACACUGUUCCUUAGGCAUCUCGGGAUUUAUAUCAAAAGGCUCUCCACAGCCUGCCGCUGAAGGCGUGAUGUAUGGUGCUCCACUUGAGACCAGAUAUCAGGAUGUUCAGAGGAGAAACCAUCUCUUUGUGUUGGCCCGAGGCCAGUGCUGAGCAAAUUAAAAAGACCGACAUGGGCUUCCACCCUCAUAUCAUUUCAUUCUAAAGCUGCUCGCUUGUCAUAUCCCUGGGGUCCUAUGUUGAUAGAAAUGAAGAGGUAGGGACACAGUUUGUUCUUCAAAAAUUGACUGCACACCUACAUGCUGAGUGACUCUCAGAGAAGGGAUGUCAACAGAAGACUUCUGGGCCUUGGGAUCCAUGGGGAGUCAGCUUUAAGAUCCAAAACCAAAUCAAUUCCUGAUACAUUGGUGUUAAAAGCCCAAGAGGGACUUCCACAUCCUACUGACUCCAACUCCCAGAACUGCAGUGACUUAGAAGAUGCCAAGGAGACUGACAGAGUUGGCUCACAACCCCUGCCUCCAGUGAGGAAUCAUCUCAUUAGGAGUGAAAUGUCCAAGAGACGGGCAGUGUUUCAGGGGAGACUGAGAAGCACAGACGUUCAAACACCUCAUGCUGGCUCUUCACCCCCAGACAAUUCCAGACUGAUUCAAGAUGAAGGUUGAGGGAACAUGCUCACAACUCCUUAGGGAAGCUCAGUGUCAGAAAUAUACAGAAUCAGUAACAGCCUGAAUAGUUAGGUGUAAGGGAUGAUCAAUAGAACCCCUGCUCAAAAACAUCUCCCUUCCUCUCUACUUCUUCCCCAGGUCUCUGGAAUUUUAUCAGCAACUUACUACUUUGGUUCUUAAAGGUUUUAUUUGGUGUUAAAUGAGUCCCCUUGCACCCUUGCACAUUUGCCAGAGAGAGGAAAUGCAGCAGUGGCUGUCACAGGCUAACGUCUUCACACAGAGUUUAUUGGAUUACUCUCUAGCCAUGACUUCUAGCUGAGAAGGAAGUCCUGUAUAAUGGGAUCGUGCAGGGGUGGGGGUUAGGGAGAGUAGGAGUAACUAUGGAGGAGAUAAUAGGGCUCCUCAAAGGGAAGCAGGUCUUUGAAAGGCAAAAAGACAAGGAAUCGAAUAUGUGUCAGGAAAUAUUGAAAAAUUUAAAAAUGGCAUACAGUUUCUGUCCUCAAGAAGAUGGGUAGAGUGGAGACACGUGGACUAUAAGUCUUUGGACCAUUUGAAAUAGCUGACAAGAGCAUGAGGCUCAUGAAACAGGACCAGAGCACUGACAGCAUUCUAGGGACUGAAAUAAAGGCUGAAUGCGUGGGAGGGGUCGGGUCAGAGGGAAAGCUGGAGUGGACUGAGGCAAAGAAUACCCUGAUCCGAUCAGAUCACAGAAAGCCUGUCUCCAAGGCUUUCUAUUUCCAUGGUUAGUGCGCCUCCACUGAACAUCAGAACUCCCACUGAACAUCUCCUGGCUGGGCCUCAGGGCUGGCUGAGGCUGACGACUGCACCUGACUGUGUCACCUCUGGGGAGCAUGCAGGGCUUCCUUCUCGAGUCACCUCCUUCAUCCCCCUCCUCCAUUCUCUACCAAAAGUAAUCCUUCCAUCCUCUCACCACAUUUCACCUGGACACAUCUGAACGAAUUAGUUCUCCUACAACUUUGAAUGAGCCCUUCUGGGCAAGUGGGUAGGUUCUGAGACCUGUGCAUUUUGUAGCCUCAUGGAUGGAACACACAUGGACCCAUCCACACCACACAUUGGCCGAAUCAAACUACCUUGCAGAAGUGCUGAGAUCUCCAGAGGACUGGCCUUGCCAUGAACACCAGCAACAUCUGCAAGACAAAAGCCCCUGAACUUGCACACAAGGACUCAAGGUAACCCAACUCCCGAUCUGAGAGCACCAAAGAACAGUUGUUUCUUAAGGCUGUGUUCUAAGCUAUCUAUAAAAAAGACUGCGACUGUCAUCCUUUGACACAUGAAGUGGAGCCUCUGCACGGUCCAUGUUCUGCUGCACUGGUGGGAACUCAUCAAAGGGCCAGAUGUCAGUGCUGAAAAACCUCAGUUCUUGCCAGGGAAAAACCAUGUUCUAAGGAAGCAGAGUUUGUGUGAUUUAGUUAUUGCCAUAUUUGCCUUCCACCAACCUGUCAUUUCUUUUGUUUUUGAUCACGUGGCUGUUUUUUCUUUCCUUUUCUAUCCUUUCCUUUUUUUUUUUUUUUUGGUCCCCUGGAAGUACUUUCUGGGUUUUGUUUUGCAUUAUUUUUCAUUUAAUGUAUCAAAGAUGAAAAUGUUGGAAAGAAAAGUCUAGACUUUUAUCUGGUGCCCCAUUUUAGAUGUAAAGAUAGUUAGUUAUUCAAUAGAUAGUAAAUUAUUUCACCUAAGAGAUAUUUCCUUUCGUUUCUGUGUAAUAAUAUGUAUGAACUCGGGUACUAGGAGAUUGUAUUGUGACAUUAUCAACCCUUAUUGCUAUUUAAAAAAUGAUAGUUUGUAGAACUGAGGAUCUCCAUUGAUGUGAAGCACAAUUUAAUGAAUAAGUUAACAUAUUAAACUGUUGUGAUGUCAAGAACAAUUGUUUUCCCCUGUGAUUUUGUUAGACGUUUUUGCAAAAUGAGAAAAGUUGGUCAGACACUUUAAGGGAUUUAUGGAAAUUGAAUCCACGGGAUCAGCUUUGUCAAACUUUUAAAAAUCCAUGCUUUGGAUACAAAUGUGGCUAUUGGAUGUGAAGCUUUAGAAGCAUAAAAGACAAAGAAAAUAUAGAUUGAAACAAUUUAAAAUCUCCGAGGCCAGGGAGGAUUUCACAGGCUCUGAAACACAUAAGCUUCUAGAAGGGUGGUUUUUAGUGGCCCUCCCUGUUUAUCGCCCACCCCCGCACAUUGAAAUUCACUGUGAAACGUGGGAAAGCAGCCCGGAGAAGAAGGGAGUGGUGGGAGACAAAAGCAGGAACUGAAGCAAAGCUGUCUGGCACUGACUCUAAAAGAAAGACAAGAGAAAAGGAAGGAACAGAGAAAGAGAGGAAAAGGGAGAUAGGGAGACAAAAUGGAAGCAGAAAAAUACAAUGGCAAUUGGCUUGGGUUUCAACACAAUUUCAAAGUAUAGGGUUUGUCCACAUCGAUUUUUAAGUAAGUAUGUAGUUCCUAUAACAAAUAUAAAGAAAGAGAAAAUUAAUGUCUAGUAAAAUCCCUUCAUUCAAAAAUCCCUUGGAGAGUGGGUGCAUUUUAUCGUGUUCUUAUUCUGUAGAAGUGGGAUUUGUGGAUUUCCUCCUUGCUUAUGGGUUCUUGAGAUUUAAAGCCUUAGAAAAACGUCCUUUGACCAUGUCCCUCUAACUCAUGGGAAUCAUAGCCAAAGUCACCUUGACUCCAGAGCAAUUGGAGUGGCCAUAAGAGAAGAUCCAAAGGCAAUAGAAGUUAAAUACACACGCAGGUGCAUGCAUGCGCAUGUGCACCUCCCCUCUGCCCACAAAGCACAGAGGUUUUGCUUCUGUCUUCCAAGAAAAAACAAAACAAAACAAAACAAAACAAAACAGGUAAGUUGAGAGAAGAACCAAGGAACACUAGAGAUUUACUUCUUUUCCUCCAUUCACCAUGAAAAUAGUAUUCAGGAUAAGACUUGAAAGAAAUGUCAAAAAUAUUAUUGAAAAUUUGCUCUCAAUAUAGUAAGAUUUCCCUUUCACUGAUCAGUUUUCAUAUAAAAAUAAAUUUGAGAAUUAAGAGGACCUAAUUCAGCAUACUUAUUUAUUUUAUACAUAAUGUUAAAUUUUUAUGAUUACAAAGUAGUAUGUGAUUUUAGAUCAUUUGAAAAACUGUGAGAAAAAAAUGCAAAAUGCAUACAUAAAAGAGCCAAAUCUUGACAUUAUUUUGAUCUAUCUCCUCUCAUUUUUUAUGUAUUGGCAAUUAGAGUAAAAUUUUAAAUAACAAAUGUUUUAGGGAAUUGGAAUCACACAAUCUACAUAAUGUAAAUACAUGUAUUAACCUCUUAAUGACCAUUCUUUGAAAAUAUAAUUUUAAUAGCUGCAUGUAAUUCUACCAUUCUGAUAUUUGGGGGCAUUCUUUUCAUUUUCAGUGUUCCCACUGAUGUAACUAACACUGAAAUGAAUACAUUUGUACCUAAGUAGCAUCUCCGUGAAUGUCUUUGUAUACCUGUCUGAGAGAGGACAGUGGAUUGCUUAACUUUAUCUCCCCAACAACUGAGAAAUAAAAAUUAUUCAAGAUUGUCAAAAUUACGCACAUGCAGCUAAAUGUAUUGUGGAAAAAAUCAAAAUGAAAAUUAUUCAUGUACUCAAAAAAAAUACGGGUAUGUCUCCCAGAACCACCUUCCUGGCCCUGGAUGGAAGGGCUCAUUUCCCAAGAUGCUGGGAAUGUGACUACUGGCUGACAGUUGUCAUCUGAGUC